GGGUUAAGUCCCGCAACGAGCGCAACCCCGCCGUUAGUUGCCAGCGGUUCGGCCGGGCACUCUAACGGGACUGCCCGCGAAAGCGGGAGGAAGGAGGGGACGACGUCUGGUCAGCAUGGCCCUUACGGCCUGGGCGACACACGUGCUACAAUGCCCACUACAAAGCGAUGCCACCCGGCAACGGGGAGCUAAAUCGCAAAAAGGUGGGCCCAGUUCGGAUUGGGGUCUGCAACCCGACCCCAUGAAGCCGGAAUCGCUAGUAAUCGCGGAUCAGCCAUGCCGCGGUGAAUACGUUCCCGGGCCUU
rnacentral:rRNA from 1 species